rnacentral:lncRNA from 1 species
AGACAAAAGAAUUAGCAUCUAAGCAUUUGUAGUCUAAUUACAUCCAUAAGGAAAAGUAUUGUAUAGAUUGAUUCUAUGAAUUUAGAUAUGGUGCCAUUUGAUUUUCAGAUAAGCCCAAAAUGAAAAUGAUUGAUACUGUAUAUUUAUGUUCUUUGAUACACUGGAAAAGCCAAGAGUAUGUUACGAGCAGAUGAGUAUAUAAAAGGGAAAGGGCCUCUAGGUAAUAGUUUUUUCCGCCAAAUUACGAGCAGAUGAGUAUAUAAAAAGGGAAAGGGCCUCUCUAGG